rnacentral:lncRNA from 1 species
GCCAUUGAUGGCGUAGGAGGAACCUUAAAAAGGUUAGCACGGCAAAAGGUUAAAGCAAGACAAGUUAUUAUUCAAAAUGCGUGGUAAUUUUAUGAAGCUAUAUGCAAAGAUUAGGCAAAUUGGAGCUAUUUAGGAUCUAUUUGGAGUAGUAAUGAAACAUUAAAUACUGACGCACUUAUUGAUGAUGUUGAUGGAUAUAAAUCUAUAAACUAUUAUAGGAAAAUAUAUCCAUACUUUUGUGUUGGAAUGAGUGAUUACUCUCAAUUAUUUACUGAUGGAAAGUGGGCUAAAGUAGUUGUUUCAUCACCGAAUACAUUGUUGAACCAUUUUUCAAAUAAAACUGCAAUAAAUUUUGAUAGUUAUGUAAUGCUUGCAAUGUCAGAUUUGCCAUUAGAUAGUUUAUCAAAAACAAUAAGUUGGUAUCCAGGGUUUCAGCCUGUGACCAAA